GCUGGGCGUGGUGGUGGGCGCCUGUAGUCCCAGCUACUGGGGAGGCUGAGGCAGGAGAAUGGUGUGAACCUGGGAGGCAGAGCUUGCAGUGAGCCGAGAUCACGCCACUGUACUCCAGCCUGGGUGACAGAGCAAGACUCUGUCUCAAAAAAAAAAAAGAAAAUAUAGAGGAAUACAUUUUUCUUUUUUUGACAGAGUCUUGCUCUUUUGCCCAGGCUGGAGUGCAGUAGUUCGAGCUCGUCUCACUGGAGCCAUUGCGUCCCAGGUUCAAGUGAUUCUCCUGCCUCAG
rnacentral:sRNA from 1 species